rnacentral:rRNA from 1 species
AGUGAACGCUGGCGGUAGGCCUAACACAUGCAAGUCGAACGGCAGCACAGUAAGAGCUUGCUCUUACGGGUGGCGAGUGGCGGACGGGUGAGGAAUACAUCGGAAUCUACUUUUUCGUGGGGGAUAACGUAGGGAAACUUACGCUAAUACCGCAUACGACCUACGGGUGAAAGCAGGGGAUCUUCGGACCUUGUGCGAUUGAAUGAGCCGAUGUCGGAUUAGCCAGUUGGCGGGGUAAAGGCCCACCAAGGCGACGAUCCGUAGCUGGUCUGAGAGGAUGAUCAGCCACACUGGAACUGAGACACGGUCCAGACUCCUACGGGAGGCAGCAGUGGGGAAUAUUGGACAAUGGGCGCAAGCCUGAUCCAGCCAUACCGCGUGGGUGAAGAAGGCCUUCGGGUUGUAAAGCCCUUUUGUUGGGAAAGAAAAGCAGCAGGUUAAUACCCCGCUGUUCUGACGGUACCCAAAGAAUAAGCACCGGCUAACUUCGUG